rnacentral:pre_miRNA from 1 species
CGUGUGGCCGGGGCUGGCGGCGGUGGCGGCAGCCCCGGGUGCCGCCCCUUCCGGCCCGCCGGGCGUCGCACGAGGC